CCAAGUGCUCAGCCAGUGACAAGUCCUGGAUUCCCACGUCCUCCUGUAGCAAGAAUGCCAUUGAAUCCUGGAGGAGGACCGCCUGCCUUUAGAUUGCCUGGAAUGGGUAGUCCUCCAAUUCAAGCUAUGCAGCCGCGCCUCCACCACCUAGCGAUCCUUGUCCAGACAAUCAGCCAAGCAUCGGGAAUGGAAGCUCGCGUAGUGUGAAUAGACCCCAGCAAGUCUACCCGCAAAACCACCUAUUAAUAGACCCAAGCCUACAGUACCCUAAGUCAGGGCACUCUAUGGAUAUGAUGCAAGUGAUAUAGAUGAGCUGACAUUUAAUGAAGGAGAUAUUAUGGUGUUAGUACAAGAAGAUAAGUCUGGAUGGUGGACGUGCAGGUUUCGUGGUCAAGAAGGGUUUUGCCCAGCUAAUUACCUUGAGAAAAUGUAAAUUCUUUGAUUGUGGUAAAUAAUAUAGAAAAAUAAUAAUCUGUAUAUUUGUAUCGAUUCAUUUUAUAUUGUGGAGUCAUUCUCUAGUAUCUCAAUAUUUUGCUGGAGUUUAGAGGAGAAAUAGUUUUAAAAUUAAAAGUUCAGCUUAUAUUUAUACCUCAUAAUGUUAAAAAGCAUUAGAGAGAGAAAUGAUUGAUAUAAAAUUAGAAGAAAAGUAGCUAGCAAUAGUAACUUAUUUGGAUAUUGUAAAGAUAAAAGUAUUUUGGUCCUAGAAGAAAAUAAAUGUCAGUGCUCAUCAUGUACUUUAUAUUUUAUUAUAUUUUGUAUCGUAUCUGUGUAUGUAUGUGUGCGCAUUCAUCUGUGUGUUUGCGCAUGAGUGAAUGCAUGAUGUGGGUGAGUGUUUAAACAGAUAACCUUUCUGAUGGUUUGAACAGCUAGCAAAACAGUUUAUUCUUAAAGGAAUAAUUUUAUACAGUUCUGCUGAAUUCCUGGUAUAUAAAACAUUUUCCUGUGGCAUUUCAUACUUUGAUGUGUUCGAGAUUAAUGGGAGGAUAUUAUAGACUAUAUUUUAAUAAAAUAUGGUUUAUUUUGUACAGGAUCAGGAGUUGAAUCAGAACAGUUAUUUGUUAAAAUUGCUUUGAAAAGUAAUAAGUGUAUGGCUAUUAUAUAUGGUCCAAGUAAUCUUCAUUACAUAUACCUGUAAAUAUUAUCCGUUUCAACCGAUAAGGGUAAAGAUGUAUAUUCUUUUUAAUAUACUCUUCAUUCUGUUUGUGUAAAUAAUAACUACAGCAUGACAAAUGGUUUUUGAACUUUUCUUUAUUGCAUAAUAACUUGUAUCAGGUUUGCCUCUAUUUGUUUUGUUAAAAAUGUGUGAUGUUAUGAUCAAAGCAGCAUUGAUUUGAUCUCUAUGUAUAAUGUUUUCUCAGCCACAUGAAACCUAUUAUUCAGCAGUAAUGAAAAUUAGUAUGCAAUUUGUUUCGUCAGCAGAAUUGUAUUUGUAUGUAAUGUCAUUAUUAAUAAAUUCCAUUUCUCAUAUUAGCUAUAUAUCAGUGUAUGCUUAAAGAAAAGAUAGGAAAAGAUUGUAAAUAUGUCUGUAUAUUCAUUUUUAUAAGUAUUUAACAUAGAAAUAUACUGUAUAGGUGG
rnacentral:lncRNA from 1 species